GCUAAGAGAUUUAUUUAUGAAAUAUAUUAUUGUUUUGACUAACGGUCUUGGCGACUGGCGGUUUAUUUCGGGUUAUGCAGCAGGUUUGAUUUUUCAGUGCCAAGGGGGCUUUUGGGCGAGAUAUUGGGUACAGGGGAUCCUUUAUCUAGUUUCGGGCUUUAGCGAGGUGCGCUUUAAUUCACGUCCAAUUGUUUUUAUUUAUUCUCAUAGGCGGGGAAUAAAUAUACUUACACUCACUUUACCGUUUGGUGAGAGAAGCGGUUUAAGCCUCUGUGGUGCGACCAACGUGUGGUCUCGCAACAAAGUACAGUGUUUUGUUUAGUAGUGUCGCCAAAAGUGUUUUGCGCGUCUGGGUUUAUCUGGUUUGGAUUUACCUGGGACUGUUUUGCUAGAAUCUCACAUUCAAAUAAUCAUUGCUUGAUUUUAAAUAUCUCUUUUAUCUUAUUAAAUAUCGUUUUAUUUAAUUUCAAUAACCGGACUUUUAUUUAACGUUCCUCCAACCCCUAGACAACGACAUAAAAACCUACAUGUUAUUAUAAUGGAAUUAGGAACCUUAUUUCGACCGAACGUUGAACGCACUUCAAGAAUAGUGGCAAUUAAACCAUUUUGACAAUAAUUUUUGACAAUCAGAAGGCGUUAUUCUACCGUUUAAUGCUCCAUGUUUACUACCUCAACUUUUAGGUUAAGGUAGCGCGCAGAAACAGCGAGUCUAAGCGACAUUAGCGUAAACCUAGCUUAAUAAACGUGAGGUACCCUUGACAGUGUCUAAACAAUGUAAGAACAAGUGAAAAUUGAAGUUGACACAGUGAUUAUGACCUGUAGAAAAGGUUAGGUUAGUAAAUGAAGAACUAUGAAUGUUAAGCAAGAAAACUCCGCCAAUUGCCUCGUUGCAGUGCUAUAAACUACCAAGUAAGCAGGCAAAAAAACGAAGUAAAAGUUGUCGGGGUUCAACUGUGUGGAAGAAAAGCCGAAUCUAUUUCAGACAGUCGGGGAAAUUUACAGAAACACAAGAUUUUAUUUCAUUUUUAUUACCACCCACAAUUAUAUAUAGAUAGAUCUCCUUGGACCCAAAGGAAAGUUUGGAGAGAAACGUUUUUGUAAUGUAUUCUGAUUGUUCUGAUCUAAAUAUUUUUUAGUCAAAAGCUGAACAGCUUUAAAAGCUUUGGUUAUGUUUUUGUAUUAUGUAUAUUAUAUGUUUGUAUGUUAUGCCCGCAAUCAACAGAUUAUUUAAUGUUAAAUAAAUAUUAUUUAAGAAA